rnacentral:lncRNA from 10 species
CCGGGCACUGUGUGGCGUGCUUAUGCGCUCUGGCUCAUUGCACCCUCUCAGCAAGCCCGACAGUAGAGGCUGCUUUAAAUUCCUACUUUAUAGGUAAGGAGAAGGGGGGCGCAGAGAGAUAAGAACUGUCCCCUUGCUGCAGUCAGGCUUCCAGCCUCAGCCCCUUGCCUUGAAAAGGACUGAACCAAUCCCAUCCUCUUUUUUCUUUUUUUAAAGGAAUGUGGUGACAAGGAGCCCACACAGACCUCAACUUCCACCAGCCUGAAAAUGAUGCUCCCAAUUCUGCCCUUCAAACCUGUUUGUCUUGGAUUUCUUAUUUGUUUUUAUUUUAUUUCAUUAUUUUAUUUAAUGUUUUGAGACAAAGGUCACUCUGUUGCCCAGGCUGGAAUGCAGGGGCGCCAUUAUAGCUCACUGUAGCCUCUAUCACCCCAGCUCAAGUGAUCCUUCUACCUCAGCCUCCUGAGGAGCUGGGUCUAUAGGUGCAUGCCACCACACCUGGCUAAUUUUUUAAUUAUUUGUAGAGAUGAAGUCUCAUUACGUUGCCCAGGCUGAUCUUGAACUCCUGAGCUCAAGCAAUCCUCCUGCCUGGGCCUUCUAAUGUGCUGGGAUUACAGGCAUGAGCCACGGCGCUUGGCCUUGAAUUUCUAAUGUCACUGAAUCACUGAAUCAGAAAUUUAGAAAGGGGUCCAAACUGCCCACUGCCUCUGGACUGUUCUCCUGGCAGCCUAGGAAGUGUAGGCUCUUCCUGCCUGUAGCUCCAACCAGGCCAGGCCAGCCUAGUCCCCUCCAGAUUGUUCUGGAUAUAGGAGGUGACCCUGCAUCUUGACUGCCUGCCUCAGAGGUCUCAAAAAUUUUGCCCUCAGGACCCCU